GAACAACGAUACUGCCUCGGGGAGCUGUAAGCAAGCUUCGAUCCGGGGAUGUCCGAAUGGGGAAACCCAGCUGAUGUAAUAGUCAGUUACCCGUAUCUGAAUACAUAGGAUACGAGGAGGCAUACCCAGGGAACUGAAACAUCUAAGUACCUGGAGGAAGAGAAAACAAGAGUGAUUCCGUCAGUAGCGGCGAGCGAACGCGGAACAGCCUAAACCAGAGAGC
rnacentral:rRNA from 1 species